CCUAGACAUUUGGGAUCAGCCAAAAAUACAGGCUUUUUCAUUUUUUACUGAUCAUCCCAGUACCAGGGGAAACACCAAAUAUACAAGUGGUUUUCUCAGCUUCUAAUUUAACAGAAUCACAUUUGUUAUUGUGUUAACAUUCUUCCCAUGGGUGCUUGAAGCCUGUCUCAGCAGAGCCUAAAGUGGCAGGAAUGGUGACCAUAUAUUGUGUUUUCUGUUUGUUUCACAGGUGUGUGUCAUGUCCCAUCUUGAGGCUAUAGGCUGUAUCUCAUAUUGCUGUGUUCUGAAGCGCUUGGGGUGAAGUGUGAUAUGAUUCAGUAUUAGGCUAUACUGCUUACGAGGCUUAGCACUUUGAAGAAUGGGGGAUUGGAGAACCUGAUCAAAUAUAAAGACUACCAGGGUGGACUGAGUCUUUGAAAAGCCAAGUCACCAUUCCAGCCUUCAGGACAGAUGAAAAAUCUCUAUACUUUUCCACCGUAGAAUCUAGGUAUAUGAUUAGGAACCUGGAUUUUCUGACUUCUGGGUCCCUUCCAGACUUCCUGAGUCUGAAUUUCUGAGUAACCAUAAGAAUAAAUCACUAAAAAGGGGGAUAUGGUGACUGAUG
rnacentral:lncRNA from 1 species